CGUACACUCCUACGGGAGGCAGCAGUGGGGAAUAUUGGACAAUGGGCGCAAGCCUGAUCCAGCCAUGCCGCGUGAGUGAUGAAGGCCCUAGGGUUGUAAAGCUCUUUCACCGGAGAAGAUAAUGACGGUAUCCGGAGAAGAAGCCCCGGCUAACUUCGUGCCAGCAGCCGCGGUAAUACGAAGGGGGCUAGCGUUGUUCGGAAUUACUGGGCGUAAAGCGCACGUAGGCGGAUCGAUCAGUCAGGGGUGAAAUCCCAGGGCUCAACCCUGGAACUGCCUUUGAUACUGUCGAUCUGGAGUAUGGAAGAGGUGAGUGGAAUUCCGAGUGUAGAGGUGAAAUUCGUAGAUAUUCGGAGGAACACCAGUGGCGAAGGCGGCUCACUGGUCCAUUACUGACGCUGAGGUGCGAAAGCGUGGGGAGCAAACAGGAUUAGAAACCCCUGUAGUCCCAUGA
rnacentral:rRNA from 1 species